rnacentral:rRNA from 1 species
GAUGAACGCUGGCGGCGUGCCUAAUACAUGCAAGUCGAGCGAACAGACGAGGAGCUUGCUCCUCUGACGUUGGCGGCGGACGGGUGAGUAACACGUGGAUAACCUACCUAUAAGACUGGGAUAACUUCGGGAAACCGGAGCUAAUACCGGAUAAUAUAUUGAACCACAUGGUUCAAUAGUGAAAGACGGUUUUGCUGUCACUUAUAGAUGGAUCCGCGCCGCAUUAGCUAGUUGGUAAGGUAACGGCUUACCAAGGCAACGAUGCGUAGCCGACCUGAGAGGGUGAUCGGCCACACUGGAACUGAGACACGGUCCAGACUCCUACGGGAGGCAGCAGUAGGGAAUCUUCCGCAAUGGGCGAAAGCCUGACGGAGCAACGCCGCGUGAGUGAUGAAGGUCUUCGGAUCGUAAAACUCUGUUAUUAGGGAAGAACAAAUGUGUAAGUAACUAUGCACGUCUUGACGGUACCUAAUCAGAAAGCCACGGCUAACUACGUG